UUGACGGUACCCUACUAGAAAGGAGCCGCUAACUUCGUGCCAGAAGCGUCGGUAAUACGGGGGCUCCAAGCGUUAUCCGGUGUUAUUGGGCGUAAAGAGUCGUGUAGGUGGUUGGGUAAGUUAUCUUUCAAAUAUCUUUGCUUAACAAAGAGGAGGGGGAUAAUACUGCUCGACUAGAAUUUUCUCAAGGGAGAUCGGAACUGAGGGAGGAGUAGUGAAAUGCGUUGAUACCCUCGGGAACACCAGUGGCGUAGGCGGAUCUCUGGGAGAAGAUUGACACUGAGACACGAAAGCUAGGGGAGCGAAGCAGAUUAGAGACCUGCGUAGUCCUAGCCGUAAACGCAUGCUUGCUAGCUGCAUGAAUCUACCUUCGGGUGGUAUCGUGUGGCGAAGGUAACCCGUUAAGCAAGCCGCCUGGAAAGUACGGCCGCAAGGCUGAAAUUCAAAGGAAUUGGCGGGGAGGCACACAACCAGUGGAACAUGUGGUUUAAUUCGAGACUAACCGAAGAACCUCACCAGGGUUUGACAUGUAGCUGCACGUCUUAAGAAAUUAAGACUCUCUUGAAGGUGCUACACAGGUGCUGCAUGGCUGUCGUCAGCUCGUUCCGUGAGGAGUGCCCUUAAGUGGGACAACGAGCGCAACCCCUAUUACAUGUUAGAAAUGUCAUGUAAGACUGCCUUGCCAUUUGGCGGGGAGGAAGGAGGGGCAGACGUCAAGUCCGCAUGGUCCUUAUGCCCUGGGCUACACACAUGUUACAAUGAGUACGGCAAUGAGUCUGUCGCGAGCACGUAAGUGUAAGCUAAUCUCUUAAAUGUACUCUCAGUGGGGAUUGAGGUCUGCAACUCGACCUCAUGAACACGGAAUUGGUAGUAAUCGCGGGUCAGCUAUACCGCGGUGAAUACGUUCUUGCCUCUUGCACACACCGCCCGUCAAACCAGCAAAGUC
rnacentral:rRNA from 1 species